rnacentral:sRNA from 1 species
CCUGCAGCCUGGUCUCUUUUAGUAGGGAUGUCUUUAUCAAAAGUUGGUGUGUCUGGAUACAUCGCUCCUCUGGGUCUUCUUCCCCAACGGGCUGCCAGUGCGUGGUGCCACGGCGCGAACAAACGAUCUGUUGGGACACCCUAGAGGUAAUCCCACAAUGGUAACAUGAAUGCUGGCGAAGCGAUUGCCAUCACUAGCAUAUCCAACUUGCAUUGGUGGCUUGUCCUUAUUAGUGGAGCAUGGAUUGGCUUGUUUGGCUGUGGCCAGCGAGCAUGUGAGAUCAAAACAUAGCCCAACCUCUUUGACUGGUAAAAUAGAAUAGCUGAUGCGACAUCGGAGGGCACAAAGCCUCGUCCAGGG